rnacentral:RNase_P_RNA from 1 species
AGGGACGGCCGGGGGGUCGCUCGCCGAAAGGCGGGAGGAACUUCCGGACUCCGUCGAGCGCGACGCCCGUCGAAAGACGGGGAGGCGGGGGCCAGAUCCCCCGUCGACGGAAAGUGGCACAGAAAAGUACCGCCUCCGAAAGGAGGUAAGGGUGAAAAGGCGGGGUAAGAGCCCGCCGCGCGUCCCGCGAGGGACGCGGCAUAGCCAAACCCCGUCGGGAGCAAGGCAGUAGGGCGGUGCGCGCGGCUCGCGCAGGCCCGGGCGAAAGCCCGGGACGGCCGCCCGGUGGCCGCAUCAGAGAAAUGACCCUCCAGGCCCGCGAGGGCUGGACAGAAUCCGGGGUACAGGCCG